CACGUGAAUUGCUUGGAGUGUGGUGGUGUCAACACCUGUACAGUUACAAGGACACUUACCAAGGUCCACCUCACGGUCGAAUUAGUCCACCAUCCGACGAUGCCAAACAAUGAGAGUGGCAUUUUGGAAGAGUUUGUGACAAAGCCGUGUGAUAUCCCUGUGGUUUUGGAUAUUGAUAAUGUUAAAUACACAUUAAGAGGGUUCGUGGGAUUCUGUGGGAGGACGUCCAGCAUUACAAACAUUGGACACUAUGUGGCAUAUAUGUCAGAAGGUGCAACGAGCCAUGGGAGCUGUAUGAUGACACCAAAGAGUCAAAGAUGUCUGUUUCCCAGAACAAACCAGUUCCGUGUCAACUUCUAAUAUAUACAAUUUUAUACCAGUGGAAACUGCAUGACCAGUCCUCACGAUCAUCUACAAGACUGCACUAAGAGCACUGAGCACUAUACAAACUAUCAUUAUUAGGUAGAACCGAAAAGACAGGUGAAAUUAUAUCAUUGAAAAUUGGAAAAUACUGUUGCUGUUUAGAAUAUGAGAACAGUUUAAGUUGAAAAUGUAUAAAGGUAGUUCAAAUAUUUCUGUAUCAUUUAUGUUAAGAUAGUUUGCGAUUUUCAUUCAUUGCAAAUAAGGAUGUUUUUUCUAUUCUUCUUUCUGUUUGCAGAAUGUGAACAAUUAAUUUUGAUUUUAUAAAGGUAGUUUAAAUAUUAAUUUGUGUAUCAUA